UAAAUAUUAAAAAUAUUAGGUUUAUUUAAUAAUCAAAAGGGAAAAUGGUGAAAAUCCAUUGCAGCCCCCGCUACUGUAUACGGCGACAAAUUCUGUAUCCACUGGAUUUAUUCUGGGAAGGAAGAAGGAGGAAGACCCGUGAGUCAGGAGACCUGCCUUUUAUUUUGAUUGCAA
rnacentral:ncRNA from 2 species